GAAUUGUCUUUUUCUUUUUUCUCUUUCCUUUAACUAACAGAAAAGUAGACUGAUUUUGAAUGAAGGAAGGUAAUUGUGUAACGGACAGUUAAUUUAAGGAGAAGUGUGUUAAUCUUAAAACGUUGAAGCCCUCGGUAUAAAUAUGGCUAUAAUUUAGAGAGCUUUUUUAUGUUUUUUUUUUUCUCCCGUUGAAAGGCAUUUUUACAUAUUUAUCUACACAAAAAUAAGUGCCUAAGUGCAGCACAAGGCACAACGACAUCGUCUCUUCCUUCUGCUACUCUGAUUCCCUCCCACUGUCUCACAAUUCGCGACGGCUUCACCUUCUUUAAGCCUAUAACAAAUCAGGAUUUAUUUUCCCUUUCUUCUUCUCCUCCUCUCAGCUCCCUUUUAUAUUGUUACUCUUCCUCAAUUUCAAGCAACGAGAAUGUAGAAGAUAUUGGUUCUGGUCAUUAUCAUGAAGAAAUCAAGAAAAACCAUGUAUGGGAAUCCGAAAUGUUUGGCUUUUGAUCACUCUCGCUAGGAAAUUGACACUCUGGACGGAGAAACUAGAUACCGGAUCAAAUACAAAUAUUGAUGCCAUGGAUAGUGCAGAUGGACUGCAUGUUAGUGACGAGGAGAUAAAAUCUCCUGCAAGUGAACAAGUUGCACGACCCUGUGUGCCAAAUGAAAAUGAGCACUGCACUACUAGCGGAGAAAAUGUUGAAGGGAAUAGUAUUAGAGCCGUUGCCAGUAAACAUUUGAUGUGUGAGCCCCGAAAUGGUUUAGUAUUUGAAACAAAGGAGGCAGCAUAUUCUUUCUACAGAGACUAUGCUCGAUUUGUAGGAUUUGGCAUCACAAUAAAAGCCAGUCGUCGUUCAAAAAAAUCUGGAAAUUUCAUUGAUGUAAAAAUUGCAUGUUCUCGAUUUGGUAGUAAGCGUGAGUCAAGUGUGACUGUCAAUCCACGAUCUUGCAUAAAGACAGAUUGCAAAGCAGGCAUGCAUAUGAAGAGGACACAGGAUGGGAAGUGGGUUAUAUACAGUUUCAUAAGGGAGCAUAAUCAUGAAAUAUUUCCGGAUGAUUUUCAUAAUUCUGUCCAGGGACGGAACAAACAAUCCGGUGUAGUUGCAUGUCAGAAGACAGGGCUCCAGUUGGCUUUAGAGGAGAAUGAUAUGCAAGUCAUGCUUGACUAUUUCAUGUGCAUGCAGGCUGAGAAUCCAAAUUUCUUUUAUUCAUUAGAUCUGGACCAUCAAAAUCGUUUGAGAAAUGUGUUCUGGGUUGAUGCGAAGGGCAGGAAUGAUUACAGUUUUUUCUGUGAUGUCGUCUUCUUUGAUACCUUCUAUCUUAGAAGCAAUUAUAAAGUUCCUUAUGCUUCCAUCAUUGGAAUCAAUAAUCACUGCCAAUUCAUAUUACUUGGAUGUUCAUUGAUUGGAGAGCAGAGUGUAUCAACUUUUGUUUGGUUAAUGCAGACAUGGCGUAAAGCAAUGGGUGACCGAGCUCCUAAUGUAAUUAUUACUGAGCAAGAUAAAUGCUUAAAUGAAGCUGUUGCUGAUGUAUUUCCUGAUACACACCACUGUUUUUGUUUAUGGCAUAUAUUGAGUAAGAUGCCUGAAAAUUUGUCUCGUGUUAUGGAUGAAGGUGAAGCUUUUAUGAGCAUAUUCAACAAGUGCAUUUAUAGGUCUUGGACAGAUGUGCAAUUUGAAAAGAGAUGGUGGAAAAUGGUUGAUAAAUUUGAAUUAAGGCAGGACGAAUGGUUUCGCUCAUUGUAUGAAGAUCGUAAAAAGUGGGUGCCGACUUACAUGCAAGAUAUAUUUUUAGCUGGAAUGUCUACAACUGAACGACAUGGGAGUAUAGCCUCUUUCUUUGACAAUUACAUUCAUAGAGAAGCUACAUUCAAGGAGUUUAUGGAACUAUAUAAAAAGUUUUUGCAAGAUAGGAUUAAAAUGGAAGCCAAAGCUGAUUUUGAAACACGAAACAAACAACCUGCAUUGAGAUCUCACUCAGCUAUUGAAAAGCAAAUCUCAAGACUGUAUACAGAAUCAGUAUUCAAGAAAUUUCAGGUUGAGGUAUUGGGGGUAGUUUCGUGUCAGCUUCAAAAGGAAAGUGAAGAUGGGGCCACUGUUAAUUUCAGAGUCGAUGAUUUUGAAAAGCAACAGGAUUUUGUUGUAUCUUGGAAUGAAACAGCAUCAGAUAUUCGAUGCUUAUGCCGUUCAUUUGACUAUAGAGGUUUUCUUUGCAAGCAUGCUAUCCUUGUUCUUCAUAUGUCUGGCAUCUCCAACAUACCAUCCCGCUAUAUACUAAAACGAUGGACCAAAGAUGCAAAAACCACUCAAGUUCUGACUGAAGUAUCUAAUGGCAUACCUUAUAGAGCACAACAUUUCAAUGACUUGUGCAGACGAGCCAUCAAACUGUGUGAAGCUGGGUCUUUGUCUCAAGAAGCUUAUCAUAUUGCUUUCAAGGCAUUAGAAGAAAUAUUGGAAAGAUGCGCAGGUGUUAACAACUCCAUUAGGAGUGUUUUAGAGCCCAACACAUUGGCUGUUCAUGGUUUUCUGGACAUUGAAGAAGAGAACCGUGGCAACAGUAUCACUAAAUCAAUAAAGAAAAAGAAAAUAUGUAAGAAAAAAAAGAUUUUCUUUCAUAUUAUAGGUACUUACUGUACCGGAAGGGAUGACUAUUGGCUUGCAAGACAACUACCAGCAAUUGGACCAAAUUAACUCCAGAACACAUGCCACUGGAAACUGCUAUGUUCCACAACAGGACAUGCAAGAUAUGGAAAUGGGCUCCAGGGCAACAACAACUUUUGAUGGUUUUUACGGUUCUCAACACAGCAUUCGAGGAGCGGGACAACUAGACUCAGUUUCUCCAAUCCGUGAUGAUUACUAUAGUAAUCAGCAGGGCUUACAAGGCUUGGGGCAGUUACAUUCAAUACCAACAUGUGUUAAUUCCUAUGUUGCCCAACAAAGCAUGCCGGGACUGGGCCAGCUAGGCUUUAGGGCACCAACUGAACAAGACUGUUUUGAGAUCCACAAUAAUUCACAGGAUAUGGGGCAGCCUGUUGGAUCGACACAAUAUCCUGGCAUUUCACCGAAGCUUCUGCACGAUAAGCGUCUCUAAAAAUUAACUCAGAUACUGAUAUAUGGAUGCAUUCUCAAAGUACAAAGAGUAGAAAUAGAAUCAUCCUUUAAUAAAAUCCUUUAGUUGUUCCUGUUCAACAGAUAUUCUCUCGAGAUGGAGAAAGCCGUGUUUAAUUUAGAUUUAUUACAUUCUUCUUUGCUAGCGAAAGUAGUUCUUGCACCAUUCUCAAAUAGAGGAAGAAAAAGAAGAAAGACCUAGGCUCUAUUUGUUUCUUGGAAAAUAUUUUCGAAGAAAAAUGUUUCCAAGCGACUCUUUUUGUUAUUCGGUUGCAUAUUAAAAAUGAGUUUAAAGGUAUUAAAAUUUUGUAUUUAUAAGACUGUAAAAAUACUUGGAAUUAUAGAAGUUUCAUAUUUUAAAA